UGGCUCAGUAGUUAAGAGCACUGGCUGUUCUUCCAGAGGACCUGGGUUCAAUUCCCAG
rnacentral:tRNA from 1 species